CAUAUUAUGUAAAUGUAUAUUUUAUAAAACCUUUGACAUACAGCAAUUACUUUCAGAAAUCCACCUGGCUUUCUCUUGACUUGGGAAAAUGAUGUUCCAGGGUUCAGUAUGUCAUCAGCAACCUUCAGGACCCUGCAUGGUCCAGCUGCUAUGACAGUGAGAGCGUUCUGCU
rnacentral:lncRNA from 1 species